GAUGAACGCUAGCUACAGGCUUAACACAUGCAAGUCGAGGGGCAGCAUGGUCUUAGCUUGCUAAGGCCGAUGGCGACCGGCGCACGGGUGAGUAACACGUAUCCAACCUGCCGUCUACUCUUGGACAGCCUUCUGAAAGGAAGAUUAAUACAAGAUGGCAUCAUGAGUUCACAUGUUCACAUGAUUAGAGGUAUUCCGGUAGACGAUGGGGAUGCGUUCCAUUAGAUAGUAGGCGGGGUAACGGCCCACCUAGUCUUCGAUGGAUAGGGGUUCUGAGAGGAAGGUCCCCCACAUUGGAACUGAGACACGGGUCCAAACUCCUACGGGAGGCAGCAGUGAGGAAUAUUGGGUCAAUGGGCAGAGCCUGAACCAGCCAAGUAGCGUGAAGGAUGACUGCCCUAUGGGUUGUAAACUUCUUUUAAUAAAGGUAUAAAGUCGGGUAAUGGGAUACCCGUUUGCAUGUACUUUA
rnacentral:rRNA from 1 species